rnacentral:rRNA from 1 species
GUAGCAAUACUGAUAUGAGAGUGGCGCACGGGUGCGUAACGCGUAUGCAACCUACCUCUAUCUGGGGGAUAGCCUUCCGAAAGGGAGAUUAAUACCGCAUAACACAAUGAAGUGGCAUCACUUUAUUGUCAAAACUCCGGUGGAUAGAGAUGGGCAUGCGUAAUAUUAGCUAGUUGGUGAGGUAAUGGCUCACCAAGGCUACGAUAUUUAGGGGGUCUGAGAGGAUGAUCCCCCACACUGGUACUGAGACACGGACCAGACUCCUACGGGAGGCAGCAGUAAGGAAUAUUGGACAAUGGUGGCAACACUGAUCCAGCCAUGCCGCGUGCAGGAUGAAUGCCCUAUGGGUUGUAAACUGCUUUUAUACGGGAAAAAACCUCCGCACGUGUGCGGAGCUGAUGGUACCGUAAGAAUAAGGAUCGGCUAACUUCGUGCCAGC